rnacentral:rRNA from 1 species
UACGAAGGGGGCUAGCGUUGUUCGGAAUCACUGGGCGUAAAGCGCACGUAGGCGGCUUACUAAGUCAGGGGUGAAAUCCUGGAGCUCAACUCCAGAACUGCCUUUGAUACUGGUAAGCUCGAGUCCGGGAGAGGUGAGUGGAACUGCGAGUGUAGAGGUGAAAUUCGUAGAUAUUCGCAAGAACACCAGUGGCGAAGGCGGCUCACUGGCCCGGUACUGACGCUGAGGUGCGAAAGCGUGGGGAGCAAACAGG